CAAUGGGGGAAACCCUGAUGCAGCGACGCCGCGUGGAGGAAGAAGGUCUUCNGAUUGUAAACUCCUGUUGUUGAGGAAGAUAAUGACUGUACNCAACAAGGAAGUGACGGCUAACUACGUGCCAGCAGCCGCGGUAAAACGUAGGUCACAAGCGUUGUCCGGAAUUACUGGGUGUAAAGGGAGCGCAGGCGGGAAAACAAGUUGGAAGUGAAAUCNAUGGGCUCAACCCAUGAACUGCUUUCAAAACUGUUUUUCUUGAGUAGUGCAGAGGUAGGCGGAAUUCCCGGUGUAGCGGUGGAAUGCGUAGAUAUCGGGAGGAACACCAGUGGCGAAGGCGGCCUACUGGGCACCAACUGACGCUGAGGCUCGAAAGUGUGGGUAGCAAACAGGAUUAGAUACCCUGGUAGUCCAAGGGCGAAUUC
rnacentral:rRNA from 1 species